GUAAUGUUAAGAAUGGGGCACAAAUUUAUGGAAGACAUUUUCUUAGCCAUUGAAUAUCUACAUAAUGCCAGUGAGUUAAUUAGAUUAUCAAACCCAUAGGUCAAUCUUCAAAUAAAUCUGAAUAUAA